AGAAGCUGUUCUUUCGGCUGGCUCCAGCAUUUGGAACAUAAGUCAGUGGGUCAGGUCGGAUCAAGUAUCUACAAAAGGAAACCACAGCUGUUACUCAAACACAUGGUGCAAGCCAGGGAAGCACUUCCCUUUUAUCACCCGUGCCGAGGGCUUGAAAUGUGAAGGCUAUAUAAAUGGAAAUUGGUUAUUAUGGCCUGUGAAACCCCUGGAAAAUAUUUAGGCCUGAAUCUUUCUGCAGAGAGUUGUACAGAAACUUAAAGAAAGAAGGCAUAGAAAUUAUUCAGCGCAGCUGGACAUGGGGUUUGGCUGCAGUGGAGCUGAGGGCGUUCAGCUCUUCCUUCUUAGCAAGUGUUCCUGAAUUGGGCACCCUUUACUAGACUUGGACUUUUCAUGUAAAAAGCUCAUUUAUAACUUAAAUACUUUUAUCAAGUGCAAAAAGCAGCUCUCCAGGCUAUGUCUCUGCCAGAACACCACCUAAACACAAGAUAAGCCUUCAUGCUACUACAGG